rnacentral:lncRNA from 1 species
GAAAGCACAGUGUUGGAAGUCCCACGUUGACUAGAGAUAAAGCCAAUUUAUAAUAUAUAAGUGGGGUGCAUACCUCACCUUACAAGCCGGUUUUGUGGGGUUGAGUUAGGCCUAAAACCCACUUCUAACAUGGUAUCAGAGCUAUGGUUAGAGCCUAUCCUAGCGAUAUUUGUUGGGCAGAUUGUUCCACCCGUUAUUGGACCGUUAUUGGACCACCCAUUAAUAUCUUGUCUCACGCUCGAGAUGUAUAUAUCUCGGCGUGAGGGGUGUGUGUUGGAAGUCUCACAUUGACUAGAGAUAAGGC